GAUUUCAUUGAACCUAAACCGACGUUUUAGUAACCGUAACAGGCAGUUCCUGAACCAUGGACACCCCUAAGUACCAACGCAUGUCAUAUAACAGCAAAAGGAAAUGUAUUUCCUUAAGUCAUUUUGUGCACACAUUUAACGUUUUCAAUUCCGACAUUAACACGAUAGAAAAUGCCAACUUAAUUUGGCGGCUACAUUUAACUUGUAUACACAUUUGUUUUCAAGACUCAUUCAUACUUCCUUCAAGUCAGAAUUGCAGAUAAUAGCAGAAUGCGGACACAAUAACCAGUUCCUCCUCUAGGGACCAGAUAUGUAU
rnacentral:misc_RNA from 1 species